GGGGAUGCAGCUUAGUGGCAGAGUGCAUGUUUACUGUACACGAGGUCCUGGGUUUGAUUCCUGGCACUCUCA
rnacentral:tRNA from 1 species